rnacentral:rRNA from 1 species
CUACGGGUGGCAGCAGUGGGGAAUAUUGGACAAUGGGCGAAAGCCUGAUCCAGCCAUGCCGCGUGUGUGAAGAAGGCCUUCGGGUUGUAAAGCACUUUCAGUGGGGAAGAAAGCCUUGGGGCUAAUACCCUCGAGGAAGGACAUCACCCACAGAAGAAGCACCGGCUAACUCCGUGCCAGCAGCCGCGGUAAUACGGAGGGUGCGAGCGUUAAUCGGAAUUACUGGGCGUAAAGCGCGCGUAGGCGGUCUGAUAAGCCGGUUGUGAAAGCCCCGGGCUCAACCUGGGAACGGCAUCCGGAACUGUCAGGCUAGAGUGCAGGAGAGGAAGGUAGAAUUCCCGGUGUAGCGGUGAAAUGUGUAGAGAUCGGGAGGAAUACCAGUGGCGAAGGCGGCCUUCUGGACUGACACUGACGCUGAGGUGCGAAAGCGUGGGUAGCAAACAGGAUUAGAUACCCCAGUAGUC